UGGGGAAUAUUGCACAAUGGGCGCAAGCCUGAUGCAGCCAUGCCGCGUGUAUGAAGAAGGCCUUCGGGUUGUAAAGUACUUUCAGCGGGGAGGAAGGCGAUAAGGUUAAUAACCUUGUCGAUUGACGUUACCCGCAGAAGAAGCACCGGCUAACUCCGUGCCAGCAGCCGCGGUAAUACGGAGGGUGCAAGCGUUAAUCGGAAUUACUGGGCGUAAUGCGCACGCAGGCGGUCUGUCAAGUCGGAUGUGAAAUCCCCGGGCUCAACCUGGGAACUGCAUUCGAAACUGGCAGGCUAGAGUCUUGUAGAGGGGGGUAGAAUUCCAGGUGUAGCGGUGAAAUGCGUAGAGAUCUGGAGGAAUACCGGUGGCGAAGGCGGCCCCCUGGACAAAGACUGACGCUCAGGUGCGAAAGCGUGGGGAGCAAACA
rnacentral:rRNA from 1 species